rnacentral:lncRNA from 1 species
ACCCAGGCUCCUGCUCAGCCUUCAGGAAUCUUGCUUGGGCUGGUCCCGGCGUCCCAGAAACUCAAGAUGGGCGCUUAGGGCCUCCCAGAGAAGAUGAGGCACACUGACGGAGAAGAAGGGCAGGUAAUCGGGCAGAGAGGGCACCCCAGUGGCGUGGUGUGGAAGCACCAGGAAAGGAGGAGGAGGAGGAGAAGGAUGGAGUCCACCAUUUCGAGUGCCGAAAACAGUCAAGAGCAUCAUCGGGCUAACUGCAGCACGGCCACCAGAGCCAUGUUGCUCCACCACCACCACUACAGGUCUCUGGCCACCCGAAACGGUGUGGGAACCGGAGAUGUAGGGCCCUGAGUGUGUGAUGACAGGCCCCCCGCUGCAGGGAGAGUCGGGCACGUUGGAGCUACAAGGCCGCUGGUUGGAGCUGCUGCUCUUAGAAGUAUACGAGCCUCCAGACUGGACAGUGCCUGAUGUCAGGCGGGAAGAAUUGUCAUCCGUCGGGAGAGCAGAGCCAUUUCCUGGUCCCUCUCGGCUGCUUCCUGAACUUCCGGACUGAGAACUACUGCUUACCCAUUGAGAACUGCUGCUUACCCAUCUUCCUGACUGAGAGCCGCUGCUUCCUGACUGAUAGCCGCUGUUUCCUGACUGAUAGCCGCUGCUUCCUGUCUGAGAACCACUGCUUCCUGUCUGAGAGCCGCUGCUUCCUGUCUGGGAGCCGCCAGAACCAAAAGAAUAGCUACUCUGGGAAUACCCUGUCCCUGGUUUAAAUAUCAAGGAUCCUGAAGAACUUCCCUGGGAGCUGCUGGAUCCACCC